UACGAAGGGGGCUAGCGUUGCUCGGAAUCACUGGGCGUAAAGGGUGCGUAGGCGGUCUUAUAAGUCAGUGCUGAAAUAUCCCGGCUUAACCGGGAGGGUGGCAUUGAUACUGUAGGACUUGAGUAAAGUUGAGGUUGGCGGAAUUGACGGUGUAGCGGUGAAAUGCUUAGAUAUCGUCAAGAACACCUAUAGCGAAGGCAGCUAACUAAACUUUAACUGACGCUGAGGCACGAAAGUGUGGGGAGCAAACAGG
rnacentral:rRNA from 1 species